rnacentral:rRNA from 1 species
AACUGACCGCUAAGGGCGCGAAAGGCGUGGGGAGCCAAACCAGGAUUAGAUACCCCUGGUAGUCCCACCGCUGUAAACGAUGAACACUAGGUGUUGGUUUGCCCGCAGGCUGAUCCAGUGCCGCCAGUUAACCGCAUUAAGUGUUCCCGCCUGGGGAGUACCGAUCCGCAAGGUUGAAACUCCAAAGGAAUUGACGGGGGCCCGCACAAGCCGGUGGAGCCAUGUGGUUUAAUUCGAUGCAACGCGAAGAACCUUACCGGGGUUUGACAUCAUAGCGGAGUUUGCAGAGAUGUAAACGUUCUUCGGAACGCUAUGACAGGUGCUGCAUGGCUGUCGUCAGCUCGUGUCGUGAGAUGUUGGGUUAAGUCCCGCAACGAGCGCAACCCUUGCCCCUAGUUGCCAGCGAGUAAAGUCGGGGACUCUAGGGGGACAGUCGGCGAUAAGCCGGAGGAAGGUGGGGAUGACGUCAAGUCCUCAUGGCCCUUACAUCCCGGGCUACAC